CCUACGGGUGGCAGCAGUGAGGAAUAUUGGUCAAUGGGCGCGAGCCUGAACCAGCCAAGUAGCGUGAAGGAUGAAUGCCCUCCGGGUUGUAAACUUCUUUUAUAAAGGAAUAAAGUGAGUCACGUGUGCCUUUUUGUAUGUACUUUAUGAGUAAAGGUCGGCUAACUCCGUGCCAGCAGCCGAGGUACUACGGUGGGUCCGAGCGUUGUCCGGAUUUAUUGGGUUUAAAGGGAGCGUAGAUGGGUUGUUAAGUCAGUUGUGAAAGUUUGCGGCUCAACCGGAAAAGUGCAAUUGAUACUGGCAGUCUUGAGUACAGUUGAGGUAGGCGGAAUUCGUGGUGUAGCGGUGAAAUGCUUAGAUAUCACGAAGAACACCGAUUGCGAAGGCAGCUUACUAAACUGAGACUGACAUUGAUGCUCGAAAGUGUGGGGAUCAAACAGGAUUAGAUACCCUGGUAGUC
rnacentral:rRNA from 1 species